rnacentral:misc_RNA from 1 species
AAGUCGUAACAAGGUUUCCGUAGGUGAACCUGCGGAAGGAUCAUUAUUGAAUAUUCCUGAUGAGUUGUAGCUGGCUCUUUGGAGCAUGUGCACGCUUGUCUUGAUCUUAUUCAUCCACCUGUGCACAUUUUGUAGUCUUUUGGGCUGAGUCGAGUAUCGGAUGGAUGUCUAUCCGGAUGUGAGGACUGCUGAGUGCGAAAGCAUACGGCUCUUCUCUGUUUGACCUCACCCUUGAGUACUAUGUAUUCAUAUACCACAUAGUAUGUUGUAGAAUGUGAUCAUUGGGCCUUUGUGCCUAUAAUAAUCAUAUACAACUCUCAGCAACGGAUCUCUUGGCUCUC